CUUUUACAAUGAAGAGUUUGAUCCUGGCUCAGGAUGAACGCUAGCUACAGGCUUAACACAUGCAAGUCGAGGGGCAGCAUCAUCAAAGCUUGCUUUGAUGGAUGGCGACCGGCGCACGGGUGAGUAACACGUAUCCAACCUGCCGACAACACUGGGAUAGCCUUUCGAAAGAAAGAUUAAUACCGGAUGGCAUAAUUAUUCCGCAUGGGAUAAUUAUUAAAGAAUUUCGGUUGUCGAUGGGGAUGCGUUCCAUUAGGCAGUUGGCGGGGUAACGGCCCACCAAACCAACGAUGGAUAGGGGUUCUGAGAGGAAGGUCCCCCACAUUGGAACUGAGACACGGUCCAAACUCCUACGGGAGGCAGCAGUGAGGAAUAUUGGUCAAUGGACGAGAGUCUGAACCAGCCAAGUAGCGUGAAGGAUGACUGCCCUAUGGGUUGUAAACUUCUUUUAUACGGGAAUAAAGUUAGCCACGUGUGGCUUUUUGUAUGUACCGUAUGAAUAAGGAUCGGCUAACUCCGUGCCAGCAGCCGCGGUAAUACGGAGGAUCCGAGCGUUAUCCGGAUUUAUUGGGUUUAAAGGGAGCGUAGGCGGGUUGUUAAGUCAGUUGUGAAAGUUUGCGGCUCAACCGUAAAAUUGCAGUUGAUACUGGCGACCUUGAGUGCAACAGAGGUAGGCGGAAUUCGUGGUGUAGCGGUGAAAUGCUUAGAUAUCACGAAGAACUCCGAUUGCGAAGGCAGCUUACUGGAUUGUAACUGACGCUGAUGCUCGAAAGUGUGGGUAUCAAACAGGAUUAGAUACCCUGGUAGUCCACACAGUAAACGAUGAAUACUCGCUGUUGGCGAUAUACAGUCAGCGGCCAAGCGAAAGCAUUAAGUAUUCCACCUGGGGAGUACGCCGGCAACGGUGAAACUCAAAGGAAUUGACGGGGGCCCGCACAAGCGGAGGAACAUGUGGUUUAAUUCGAUGAUACGCGAGGAACCUUACCCGGGCUUAAAUUGCAACUGACGGAACCGGAAACGGUUCUUUCUUCGGACAGUUGUGAAGGUGCUGCAUGGUUGUCGUCAGCUCGUGCCGUGAGGUGUCGGCUUAAGUGCCAUAACGAGCGCAACCCUUAUCGAUAGUUACUAGCAGGUCAUGCUGAGGACUCUAUUGAGACUGCCGUCGUAAGAUGUGAGGAAGGUGGGGAUGACGUCAAAUCAGNNNNNNNNNNGAGACUGCCGUCGUAAGAUGUGAGGAAGGUGGGGAUGACGUCAAAUCAGCACGGCCCUUACGUCCGGGGCUACACACGUGUUACAAUGGGGGGUACAGAAGGCAGCUACACGGCGACGUGGUGCUAAUCCCGAAAGCCUCUCUCAGUUCGGAUUGGAGUCUGCAACCCGACUCCAUGAAGCUGGAUUCGCUAGUAAUCGCGCAUCAGCCACGGCGCGGUGAAUACGUUCCCGGGCCUUGUACACACCGCCCGUCAAGCCAUGAAAGCCGGGGGUACCUGAAGUACGUAACCGCGAGGAGCGUCCUAGGGUAAAACUGGUGAUUGGGGCUAAGUCGUAACAAGGUAGCCGUACCGGAAGGUGCGGCUGGAACACCUCCUUUCU
rnacentral:rRNA from 1 species